AAGACAACAUGUGCUUUAACUCGGCAGUUCAGGAAACCGAGUUAAAGGCACAAAUUACCAACAUCAUCAUAAAACAAAACAAAAAACGAUGUAAACAUCUAGAGUUUAAGGUCACCGUAUCAUUUGGAUAUAGCGUUCGAUUCGUGGACACUGAGGGGCAGGAAGGUAUAAGCUUUUGAGUCCGUGGAGAUGAGCAAGUCACAGUCCUCUGGACCAUCACAAUGUGGGGACAAACAGGUGUAUUGGUCAGAAGAGGAAACGAAUGCGCAGCUGAAGCAGCCUAACACUGCCCGGGGAAGCUCAGAGAUGACCGUAGUGUCACUGCACUAGAUGCUAACGGUCUCCAGACAUUGAUCUCUGGAGAAGCCUCUUUUCUGAGGUUCAGCACAAGAUCUUCAACCAACAGGAGCUGACAGCUGCACAUAGCAGUCCAGAAGGCAGCCUGCAUGUGCAAACCACCAGCAGACCCAAGAAUGCUAUUCCUCAACACCUCCAUGUUCCCCGCCCACUGUGCGUCCACCUCAGCUACCCCAAUCAGCUGCUCAAAUAGAAAAUGAAAGCAUCUCAGGCCUCAUCUUUCACACACUGAUCUUCCCUACACCGCGUGUACAUUCCCAUGACAACAUCUGGGACUUGGUGUUUGCCUUAGCUAUGUCUUGUGCUCUCCCUUCCUAAGCCACCUUCAUUUUCACUAGAAUCACCUUACCCGUCCUUAUUUCUACCCUAAACACUCCCAGUGGGAGAUUAAAACCAAACAUAAAGGAAA